rnacentral:lncRNA from 10 species
ACUUCGGAGCCUGGAGCACAGGGCGAGCUCUCCUCCGCCCUGCAGCCUCAGGAGUCAGGAGGCCUGGGCAGCCUGAAGAGUACACGCCGACGGACAGACAGACAGUGCAGUCACCCAUAAAGUAGAAAGCACUACUAACAGCACUGGAGGGUGUAGUGUUUCCUACUUUAUGGAUGAGUGUACUGUGGGCUUCGGAGAUCACGCCACUGCUGCCGCCCGCUGCCCGCCACCAUCUUCCUCGGCGCUCGGGGACCUCGUGUGACAGGUGAGCACCUUACGGCCCCUCCCUACCCUGCCCAGAUGCCUGAAAGGCCUCCAUGGCUUUCCUGCCCUUCCUGGUUCCGGACAGCUGGGGAAAGGCCACAGCAGCUCCUCUGCUGCCCUGCAGUCUUUGGGGGCGGGGAGGGCUGGACAUGUGGAACCCUGAUGCAGCCGCAGCGUCAAGGACGAGGAAGGGGUGGGAAGGGAUGGUACGUGGAGGGGAAUGGGUGGUGGGACCAGGGACCCAAUGCUAAUAAAGACUGGACUGUGCUUCUCUUUUGUCUGAGACUCUGUUGCUGGGGUGGGGAGCUGAAUGCGGGCGGCAGGCACAUGGACAGUAUGGGCGCACAGAAGGGCUGGGAGGGAGAACCUCUGUCGCUCCUCCAGAAGAUACGGGUUUGGCCCUGCCUAUGAGAUCAGAAGAGGGCUCUGGGCCUGGCCAGGCCACAGCCGGAGGAGAGAAGGGCCUGGGCCAUCUGCAGAAAGGGGCAGGGAUGUAAGGCAUCCUCUCACCUUCUACCCUAGCUCUGGCCCUAUCCUGCCCCCCUACAUACCCAAACUGAAAGCUGCCUACAUCCAGUUUUAAUCUAAGAAAGUCUAGGGGGUCCUAGGUCAUAUAAAAAUUGGGCAAAAUCCACUGUGGCACAUACACAGCAUCUUAGACAAGGGCACAGACACUCAUAUACAAAGCACACACUGAGAUGCAAAUGCAUUUACACACAGAGGCCCCAUUCAGUGUGCCAGUAACACACACACAGACACAUGUGACAUGACUGGCAUGACACACACAGGGAUUACACACACCCAGGGCACAUACAUAUUCAGUAGUACACACAUGCAAUGAUAGAAACAUAGGGCGUGUCUUACACAUAGAAGAGCACACACAUACAGUGACAUUUGCAUAAUAAACACGGUGGCUCCAUACACAUACAUAGAUAGAGACAUGUUCAUAUAUCAUGAUAAAUAUAGAAUACAUAGAUACAUGGUGAUAUAUAUAUAUAAAUCAAACCAUGUCAUUAUGCAUAUUUACAUGACGAUAUGAGCAUGUCAUAUAUUGUGUAAUCAAUUACUACAUUGUGCCAUAUAGUAGCAUCCAUAUCUAUAUAUAUCAUGAUGUGUUGUAAUUUAUAAACUCAUGCAAUGAUAGCCUCCCAUGCACAUAACAGCACACACAUAGACACAGUGGCAAACAAACAUAGAUGCAAUGACACAGAAACAUACAUACAGAUACACCCAAUGUGUUUUUGUUACGUUUUAUUAUGUGACUCAUAGACACAUAAUAGCACACACAUAUAUACACACAAUGGCCCCUUCACAUAUACAGAAAUAGAUAAUGUCUAUUCUAUAGAUGCAUACUAUACACACGCAUGCGCAUAAUGGCAUGCAUAUAUACUCUGACCUAAACAGCAACACAUCAUGCAGUGGCGUGCGUGUUGACCUACACACUGCUUUAGGGAAGUGAAGAUGUCCACUCCUCCCCAUGCACCCCC